UAUCCCAUGUGAAUCGUGUUA
ensembl:piRNA 21ur-1151 ncRNA